rnacentral:tmRNA from 3 species
GGGGGCGAAAUAGGAUCGACGAAGGUGUAAAGAUCGUACUUUUGCCCGGCAUUGUACCACCGUCAUCGGGCUAAACUUAUAGUUGCCAACGACAACUAUGCGGAAGCACGUCUCGCUGCUUAAUGCAGUGCGAUAGCUUCAAAUCAAGCCCUAGGGGUUCGCACUUCUAGGCGGGGUUCGGAGGUACCUGGCAACAGAAACCUCCACU